AUACUUACCUGGUGUCGGACUCCCGGUGAUCAAGCUGGCUGGGGUCCCGUGCCGAGGCCUGCCAUUGCACUGCGGUAGGCUGAAGCACGCCACUUUCCCAAACUGGGAUAGAUGGGGCAUGUAAUUUUUGGUAGUGGGGCUAGGCGUUCGCGCCAGCCCCUG
rnacentral:snRNA from 1 species